GAACGAGAGAGAGAUUGACGCGCGAGAUAUUGCCGUGCCACGUCAGUUGGACCGCUCAUAACGGUCUGGUUGCAGGUUCGAGUCCUGCCGGGCCCACCA
rnacentral:tRNA from 1 species